rnacentral:rRNA from 1 species
UACAGAGGUCUCAAGCGUUGUUCGGAUUCAUUGGGCGUAAAGGGUGCGUAGGCGGCGCGGUAAGUCGGGUGUGAAAUCUUGGAGCUUAACUCCGAAACUGCGUUCGAUACUGCCGUGCUUGAGGACUGGAGAGGAGACUGGAAUUUACGGUGUAGCGGUGAAAUGCGUAGAUAUCGUAAGGAAGACCAGUGGCGAAGGCGGGUCUCUGGACAGUUCCUGACGCUGAGGCACGAAGGCCAGGGGAGCAAACGGG